CACCCCUCAAGCGUAGCUUGGUAUUGGGCUCUCGUCCUUACGGACGUGCCCGAAAAAGAGUGGCGGUCCGAUGCGACUUCAAGCGUAGUUAAAUACCUCCCGCUUUGGAAGCUUUCGCGUUGUGGCUGGCCAAAACCCACCCAUUUUUUCAAU
rnacentral:misc_RNA from 1 species